rnacentral:rRNA from 1 species
AUGAACGCUAGCGGCAGGCUUAAUACAUGCAAGUCGAACGGUAAGUUUGGUAGCAAUAUCAAACCAAGAGUGACGUACGGGUGCGUAACACGUAUGCAACCUACCUUGUACAGGAGUAUAGCUCGGGGAAACUCGAAUUAACCCUCCAUGAGAUCAUAGAAUGGCAUCAUUUAGUGAUUAAAACUCAGGUGGUACAAGAUGGGCAUGCGUCUGAUUAGUUAGNGGCGGGGGUAAUGGCCCACCAAGACGAUGAUCAGUAGGGGACCUGAGAGGGUGAUCCCCCACACUGG